GACAUAGGUUGCGAACGUUAUCCGGAAUUAUUGGGCGUAAAGGAUGCGUAGAUGGCGUGAUAAGUUAUCAGUGGCAAAUCGGGGCUCAACCUCGUGGAAGCUGGUAAUACUGUCGCGCUUGAGUGCAGGAGAGGUUAACGGAACUCCAUGUGGAGCGGUAAAAUGUGACGAUAUAUGGAAGAACACCGAUAAGGCGAAGGCAGUUAACUAUUCUGUUACUGACAUUGAGGCAUGAAAGCGUGGGGAGCAAAACGG
rnacentral:rRNA from 1 species